AGAGUUUGAUCAUGGCUCAGAACGAACGCUGGCGGCGUGCUUAACACAUGCAAGUCGCACGAGAAAGUUCCCUUCGGGGGACGAGUAAAGUGGCGCACGGGUCAGUAACACGUGGGUAAUCUGCCCUUGGGCGAGGCACAACCUGUCGAAAGACGGGCUAAUACCUCGUAAGACCACAGGAUCUUCGGAUCCCGAGGUAAAAGAUGGCUUCGGCUAUCACCUGAGGAUGAGCCCGCGCACCAUUAGCUUGUUGGUGAGGUAAUGGCUCACCAAGGCCGAGAUGGUUAGCUGGUCUGAGAGGACGACCAGCGACACUGGAACUGAGAUACGGUCCAGACUCCUACGGGAGGCAGCAGUGAGGAAUAUUGGACAAUGGGCGAAAGCCUGAUCCAGCGACGCCGCGUGAGUGAUGAAGGCCUUCGGGUCGUAAAGCUCUGUCGGAUGGGAAGAAACGGGAUGACCUAAUACGUCAUUUCUUGACGGUACCAUCAAAGGAAGCACCGGCUAACUCUGUGCCAGCAGCCGCGGUAAGACAGAGGGUGCAAGCGUUGUUCGGAAUCACUGGGCGUAAAGGGCGUGUAGGCGGUAGCGUGUGUCCGAUGUGAAAGCCCCCGGCUCAACUGGGGAAGUGCACCGGAAACUACGUUACUCGAGUACGAGAGAGGGUGGCGGAAUUCCCAGUGUAGAGGUGAAAUUCGUAGAUACUGGGAGGAACACCUGAGGCGAAGGC
rnacentral:rRNA from 1 species